rnacentral:rRNA from 1 species
GCUUAUCAAUUGCAGGGGACAACAACUUGACUGAUCUCAAAAAGCUAAGCAGGGUCUCACUUGGUUAGUACUUGGAUGGGAGACCACAAGUACAAUCCUUGGCGAUUGUAGGCU